rnacentral:rRNA from 1 species
UACAGAGGUCCCAAGCGUUGUUCGGAUUCACUGGGCGUAAAGGGUGCGUAGGUGGUGAGGUAAGUCGGAUGUGAAAUCCCUCGGCUCAACCGAGGAACUGCAUCCGAUACUGGCGGGCUUGAAUCCGGGAGAGGGAUGUGGAAUUCCAGGUGUAGCGGUGAAAUGCGUAGAUAUCUGGAGGAACACCGGUGGCGAAGGCGGCAUCCUGGACCGGUAUUGACGCUGAGGCGCGAAAGCUAGGGGAGCAAACGGG